CCGUGCUAGGCGGGGAGUUCGUGGUGCCCUGUACCCCAAAUCCACGUAUGGGGGGCUGAAUUCCCGCCCGAGGCUUGAGCCGGUCCCAGGAGUUCGGCCCGCACGCGGCGUCGAUGGCCGGGUCCUGCGCAACGGGGUCCCGCGAACCGAGUCAGAUCCGGGAGGAAGCAGCUCUCAGCGGACCGCCCCGUGUGCCGCAGGGUCGCCUGGCCUGAGCUGGCGGCGGUGCUGGUGCCUGGGACCCCCGGGUCGACGGCGGGUGCACGG
rnacentral:SRP_RNA from 1 species